GCCCAGGUGGUGAAAUUGGUAGACACGCUACUUUGAGGGGGUAGUGGGAGUAUUCCUGUGCUGGUUCGAGUCCAGUCCUGGGCA
rnacentral:tRNA from 1 species